UUCUCCACAUUUCCUAGCAGGACUGAUGCCUUUUGGGGUGUAUCGCAGAUCACAGUGUUAAUAUCAGCUGGGAACGGAAACAGACCACAGGUCACAUCCUGCUCUGCCACGUUUCUUGCAAGGAAAGGAGAUGUUUGAAAGUGCCAAUGUUAAUGGAUUCCUCAAAGGAAAUCACAUCUAUAAAUCAGGCUGAUCAUGUAAAAAAAAUGCACUGCGCUACUGAGAGUAAAUGAGUUUACUUGAAACAGAAGCAGAUGGCUUUCUUGUAGGCUGCCAACACAUUUUACAGUUUCUAAAGGAAUCAUGAAAUUCCUUCUGCUUAGGAAAAGUCAUUGAAACAAUGUGUAUGAAUUGUGAGUGUGAUUCUGGCAACAUGUUUUGUUUCAAGAGAGAACAGAAGAGAAAGCAGGAGGCAAAUGGAACUGUUACCAGUCACCAUAGACCCUGUUACAUGAUGGUUGACUCUACUGACUUGAAUUGACAAAGAUAAGAAAUAAAUCUGUAGCUUCUCCAUGGAUUUAGUCAAUAGAACCUCCUUCUAUUUUCAAAGUGAAAAUGCUGACGGACAUCUGUGGCCAAGGAGCAAGUCAAAGAAUCAGCCCAAAGGGUCAACAACUUCAGAUCACAUGAAACUCUGUCCUGGGCAGCGUCAGUCUAUUGGCCAAACUCCCGACGGGGUAACAGCCCAGCCCUCAGCGAGGCCUGCUUCUGUGUAUAGGUGUGGCUACUGAGACGAUCUUUCCCUGCACUAACAACUUCUUGCCUUCCAAAGUCCACUGUGGUGAUGUUUCUAAGAAAGUCCAAAGCGGGCCAUUGGCUUCUGUGAUAAGGAGAGUGGCAGUGCAGGACAGAGCAUGGACGAGGUAAGUCAGGAGAAUCCUGGCUGUGAUUCUCCAGCCGUCAGUGCGGGAAACUUCAUUUACAGAAAGCAUGCUGCUGAACAAAUGUAAUGAGCUAGUGAAUUAGUCAAAAUAUUGUCCUACCCGUAAC